rnacentral:rRNA from 1 species
UAAGAGACAGCAGUAGCCGCGGGAAUACGUAGGUCCCGAGCGUUGUCCGGAUUUAUUGGGCGUAAAGCGAGCGCAGGCGGUUAGAUAAGUCUGAAGUUAAAGGCUGUGGCUUAACCAUAGUACGCUUUGGAAACUGUUUAACUUGAGUGCAAGAGGGGAGAGUGGAAUUCCAUGUGUAGCGGUGAAAUGCGUAGAUAUAUGGAGGAACACCGGUGGCGAAAGCACUCUGCUGGGCCGACACUGACACUGAGAGACGAAAGCUAGGGGAGCAAAUGGGAUUAGAUACCCCCGUAGUCCCUGUCUCUUAUACA